UGGGGAAUAUUGGACAAUGGGGGCAACCCUGAUCCAGCAAUGCCGCGUGUGUGAAGAAGGCCUGAGGGUUGUAAAGCACUUUAGGCGAGGAGGAUGGUAGGCUAGGUUAAGAGCUAGGUUUAUUGACGUUACUCGCAGAAUAAGCACCGGCUAACUCCGUGCCAGCAGCCGCGGUAAUACGGAGGGUGCAAGCGUUAAUCGGAAUUACUGGGCGUAAAGAGUGCGUAGGCGGUUGGGUAAGUUAUCUGUGAAAUCCCUGGGCUUAACCUAGGUGGGAAAGAUAAGACUGCUUAACUAGAGUGUGGUAGAGGAUAGUGGAAUUUCCGGUGUAGCGGUGAAAUGCGUAGAGAUCGGAAGGAACACCAGUGGCGAAGGCGGCUAUCUGGACCAACACUGACGC
rnacentral:rRNA from 1 species